rnacentral:rRNA from 1 species
UCCGAAAGGGGCUAUCGUUGUUCGGAAUUACUGGGCGUAAAGCGCACGUAGGCGGCUUGGUAAGUUGGGGGUGAAAUCCCAGGGCUCAACCCUGGAACUGCCUCCAAAACUGCUAGGCUAGAGGAUGCGAGAGGUUGGCGGAAUUCCGAGUGUAGAGGUGAAAUUCGUAGAUAUUCGGAAGAACACCAGUGGCGAAGGCGGCCAACUGGCGCAUUUCUGACGCUGAGGUGCGAAAGCGUGGGGAGAAAACAGG